GUAUACUACAGACUUGUAUCUGAACAAAGAAAAGGUAUUCCACUUGGUGAAAACAUUUAUAAUGCAGAUACCAGCAGACUAAACCUGAGAAAUUAUCAUGAGGAUUCAAAAAUUCCUGAAUUGUAUACAAAGCGUGCUAAUAAGUCAUCUCAAGCUGAAUGCAACUGUACCUUGGCUGAGAAAACAUCUUGAUUUUCAGCUUUCUCAGACCAUACAGAGAAGGUAUCCAUGAAGCACCAGAAAUGUUAAAAAUAAAAGACUAUUCAGGAAAAAUACUCCAGACUACUGUAUAUAAUCCAGAUUCUAUGUUCUUCAACAUCUCUGUAAGUUUUAUAAUUUCAAAUUAAAAUAAGUAUUAUGACCAGAAAUGGGUAUAAACCGCAGUUCUGGAACUAAACACCAUUUACCUCUGAGGCAGUUUCAAUAUGAAUUGAAAUAUAUUUUCAACACUUUUACAAUUUAUAACAAUUUUUAUUAUUAACAUUUAUCAUUUUAUAACAAUUAUCCCAUAUCUAGGUGGGAUAAAUUGGACUUUAUAUAUCAUGCAUCAUGUAAUCUUUUAAGAUGGUAGUCCCAGAAACAACAAAGGAAACUUUUUAGGAAUCUCUUGUGUAUGAACCUUUGGAAUAAGUUGCUUUAUGCAUCUUGUUAAAAAUCUUGCCUUGAACCAGUUUUUUCUAUACACUGUCACCUAGAUUUUUUUGCCUUAGAAAUAUGACUUAUUAGUCUGUGUGAUAAUAUUGACAUACAGAUUUUAGAAAAAUAAGUAUACCUUAUGGGAAUGAAUUGUAUGAAUUAUACUAGUUGAUUCUGAACCCCCUAAAUGCCUCUAUGGAAGGCUGUCUUUUCCUGAUGCACUUUCCUAUGGGAAUUACAGUCUGGGCCCGCAUCACCUCUUUAGAGCUGGGCUGUGAUGAUGAGACUGUAUCCCCUGCAGCAAAACGUGGCCCUGCUGCCCAGACCAGGAAACUGCACUUUUAUUUUGAUCUGACUCGUAUGGAAACCUUUCAUAUUGAUCAAGAAGAAACAAAGUAUGUAAAGAAAGCAGUGACCCAGGUUUCGGUCUGCUUGAUAGCAGAACUUUUGUGAGCACCAGAAUGCAAAAAAUACCCACUACUAGACAAAAGUGUU